AAGUGACCCUAUGUAGGGGGAACAGUCCCUAUUCUGCUCUGUGUCCGUGUGCAUCAGGGGCUCUGAGGACAGGUGUCAAUCCAUAUGUCAAGGUGUCAAUAUGUCAUAUGUCAGGUGUCAAUCCAUAUUCAUUGUGAUUUAGGAAUGUUAGGUGAUUUCUGCCCUUUAUGGAUUAAAACCAGACUCUUCAUCAACUGUGUAAUUUUCCAUGGGAGUUUUGCCA
rnacentral:lncRNA from 1 species